GACGAACGCUGGCGGCGUGCUUAACACAUGCAAGUCGAACGGAAAGGCCCUGCUUUUGUGGGGUGCUCGAGUGGCGAACGGGUGAGUAACACGUGAGUAACCUGCCCUUGACUUGGGGAUAACUUCAGGAAACUGGGGCUAAUACCGGAUAGGAGCUCCUGCUGCAUGGUGGGGGUUGGAAAGUUUCGGCGGUUGGGGAUGGACUCGCGGCUUAUCAGCUUGUUGGUGGGGUAGUGGCUUACCAAGGCUUUGACGGGUAGCCGGCCUGAGAGGGUGACCGGCCACAUUGGGACUGAGAUACGGCCCAGACUCCUACGGGAGGCAGCAGUGGGGAAUAUUGCACAAUGGGCGGACGCCUGAUGCAGCAACGCCGCGUGCGGGAUGACGGCCUUCGGGUUGUAAACCGCUUUCGCCUGUGACGAAGCGUGAGUGACGGUAAUGGGUAAAGAAGCACCGGCUAACUACGUG
rnacentral:rRNA from 1 species